UCCCAGGAGCUUGCUCCUGGGUGAGAGUGGCGAACGGGUGAGUAAUGCGUGACCGACCUGCCCCAUACACCGGAAUAGCUCCUGGAAACGGGUGGUAAUGCCGGAUGCUCCAACAUGACGCAUGUCGUGUUGGGAAAGAUUCAUCGGUAUGGGAUGGGGUCGCGUCCUAUCAGCUUGAUGGCGGGGUAACGGCCCACCAUGGCUUCGACGGGUAGCCGGCCUGAGAGGGCGACCGGCCACAUUGGGACUGAGAUACGGCCCAGACUCC
rnacentral:rRNA from 1 species